UUUUCUAUUUUGUUAGAUCUGAUUUUAUUUAUUUUUAUUUAAAGAUUUAAUUAAAAUCCUCCUUUCCUUGAUUUAUUUAACACAAACCAAGCGAGAACACUCUUCUCGCGAUGUUUCAACGUCAUGUGACAGCUGCACGUCAGCGUCCUAAAUUGACAGCUACGGCUUAUAUUGCUGCUGAAUCGCACCUUAGGUAGGAGACGCUGUCGGACUCUGACGUGCAGGUAGGCUUCUGUUCUGUUCCCAAAGCGGUUUUCAAAUGUCGAUUGUACAUCUAUCAAUUGUGUGCCUCUGUUAACUUACAGACGUGAACAUUCGGCUAAACGUUGAAACGAUCACGGUUUGUCAAGAGGGAACUGGCCAGGUGUAUUGCAGAUCCCCCCCCUCCGCUCAAGGAGUGGCUGAAGGGGUUAAGAUGCAUCACGGAUUGUCUGGCUUCAUGCUGACCAGACUGGCGAGCUAACCGUAUUAGCGGAUCCGGAGAUACAACACUUAUCUGUGAAAACUUCCGAACUGGUUGGAGAUUCGGCCCAACAGUCUUCACUGAUGGAACUGGAUAUUUAUUUUUUGUUUUUCCUUUCAUCAUCAACAAAGACUGAUUGACUUUCUUGGAUUAAGGAACCCUUUUGAACUCCAAAUUGUGGACUAAUUUGCAUACAUUGUAAAUAUCAAUACAACUCACGGAUUUUGCACCA